rnacentral:tmRNA from 1 species
GGGGCUGAUUCUGGAUUCGACGAGAUUAGCGAACCCCAAGGUGCAUGCCGAGGUGCGGUGGCCUCGUAAAAACCGCAAAAAAAUAGUCGCAAACGACUCAGAAAUUGCACUUUCUUCUAAUGAUCCUGUUUAUGGUGAAUUAGCGAGAUUAGCAGCCUAAGAAACUGCAGGUGUCCUUUCUCCCUAGCCUCCGCUCUUAGGACGGGGAUCAAGAGAGGUCAAAUUUAAAAGAGAUCGCGUGGAUACCUAGCUUGGGGUUGAAGCGUUAAACCUAAUCAAGCUAUGUUUGUUAGUGGCGUGUCCAUCCGCAGCUAACCGAUGAAAAUAAAGAUUGGACUAAGCAUGUAGUGCCGACGGCGUAGUAAUUUCGGACGGGGGUUCAAAUCCCCCCAGCUCCACCA